rnacentral:rRNA from 1 species
CACACCGCCCGUCACAUCACGAAAGUGGACCAUACUAGAAGCAGGUGGGGCCAACCCGCAAGGGGGCAGCCUUCCAAGGUAUAGUUCAUGAUUUGGGGUGUAAG